AUGGCGGCACUCCCCACCGACCCCAUCAGCCUGAUGGACCCCUACGCCACCGCCCCAGCCUCCCCACGCCGCGACUGGGUCUUGCUCCACCCGUCGGCGCGUAUCUCCGAGCUCCACAACGCAACCACCGUCGUGUCCAGGACGAGGGACGACCAGCCCGUCGUGGCGUCCUUCUGGCUCGUCGACCCGCCGGGCGUCUCCUACUUCUCCGUCCACUGCCCCGGCCUCAAAGUUUCAGACCCGGACGACUUCGCCCACGACGAUCCCGAGCCCGGCUUCAUCGGCGCCCACGUCGUCUGUGCGGAGGCAGCGUUCCUUCUCUUCGACGUGACCUUCAACGCCCCUGACGGCCCCUUCCCGGAGUCCACCCACCACUUCGUCUACAGAGCCGGCCCCGGGGAGCCAGCACUGCACCUGCUCCCGGAACCCGAUAUUCCAGCAUACGAAGCCCGGCCGCAAUUCGGCCUCUUGCCCUGGGGCGAGCACUAUGUCGUGGCCUUCCUACGGUGGAACAGGACCAUGGGUGAUCAUAUGUUUGAUGUCCAUGUCUUCUCGUCCCAGACACAGGCAUGGAGUAAGAAGGUUGGGUUGAUGGCUAUAUCAGAGUCUAAUGAGAGAUAUUUUAGUCGGCAUGAUGCCUGCAGGCAGAUCAGGAUUGGACGCUCACUGGGCUGGGUUGAUCUCUUGCGUGGUAUUCUUCUACUUCGCAGACCGUUCGAUGAACAUCCUACGAUCGAAUACAUCCCGUUUCCUGUGUCAAGGCCGCCUUGCUCCCAACUAUCAGACGACGACGACGAGCUAGGAGGAUCUGACGCUCCUCAAUAUUUUCGUGAUGUGGCCUGCUGUGAUGAUUUGAUCAAGUUUGUCGACGUAGAAUACCAUGACCCUUCCAGUUGCAAGCCCUGCUGUGGCAGAGAUAAAAGUUGGAAAGCCACCAUAUGGAACAGGAAUCUUUCUUCGGGAGAUUGGCUCCGGGGAUUCACGGUUGAUGUUGCCGACAUCUCCCUUGACCAAAGUUAUUCUGCUUUACUGCCGGAGCUGGGGGACGACGAGACAGAAAAGUUACACCUGAAGAAAUUGAUUUUCUACACCCCCACCCUCAGCAUCUGCAAUGAUGAUCUUCUUUACGUCAUGUCCAAGGUGAAUGAUGAAGACGACAAGGCCUGGGUCAUCACAGUUGACAUGAAACAUGCGGUUGUGCAAGCAAUAGCCCCGUUUUCUGCUGGCGACAUCGACCUCCUCCCAAUGUACCGUCCAUGCUCCUUCCCCAAGUACCUCAACAUGACCCCAGGCGUAGAUAUAACCAACAAAGGGUACAAGGGCUUUACAUGGAUGGAUGUGGAGAAAUGUAUUGAGGAAUUUCUGUGGACUCGAGACUGGCUUAGGGAACUUGGUCAAUGCUUGGAACAUGAAACGUCAAUUUACAUCGAUUGUAGCUCACUAGUCUGUCCAGCGUCAUCUCUACGUUUGAUCAUUCCAGUAGUGGUAGAAUACGCUUCCUCUGUUGGUGAAGGCGAAGCUAAAGCUGCCACCGAAGCUGUGGAUGUUUGCUCACGGUAUAUACACGAGGAUAUAUGCUUGUGCAAUUCUAUGUUGAAUUGA
rnacentral:rRNA from 1 species